rnacentral:tRNA from 1 species
GAGGGUAUAGCUCAGCAGUAGAGUACAUGCCUGGUACUGGGUUCAAUUCCCAGUACUUUCG